rnacentral:rRNA from 1 species
UACGUAGGGAGCAAGCGUUGUUCGGAUUUACUGGGCGUAAAGGGCGCGUAGGCGGCGCGGUAAGUCACUUGUGAAAUCUCUGAGCUUAACUCAGAACGGCCAAGUGAUACUGCAGUGCUAGAGUGCAGAAGGGGCAAUCGGAAUUCUUGGUGUAGCGGUGAAAUGCGCAGAUAUCAGGAGGAACACCGAUGGCGAAGGCAGGUCUCUGGGCCACUACUGACGCUGAGGAGCGAAAGCGUGGGGAGCGAACAGG